UGGGGAAUAUUGGACAAUGGGCGAAAGCCUGAUCCAGCCAUGCCGCGUGAGUGACGAAGGCCUUAGGGUUGUAAAGCUCUUUUGGCGGGGAAGAUAAUGACGGUACCCGCAGAAUAAGCUCCGGCUAACUUCGUGCCAGCAGCCGCGGUAAUACGAAGGGAGCUAGCGUUGUUCGGAAUCACUGGGCGUAAAGCGCACGUAGGCGGAUUUGUCAGUCAGGGGUGAAAUCCCGGGGCUCAACCUCGGAACUGCCUUUGAUACAGCAAGUCUUGAGUUCGAGAGAGGUGGGUGGAAUUCCUAGUGUAGAGGUGAAAUUCGUAGAUAUUAGGAAGAACACCAGUGGCGAAGGCGACCACCUGGACUGAUACUGACACUGAGGUGCGAAAGCGUGGGGAGCAAACAGGAUUAGAUACCCAAGUAGUCCCUGAGCGGGCUGGCAAGGCGCAU
rnacentral:rRNA from 1 species